CCUACGGGGGGCUGCAGUGGGGAAUAUUGCACAAUGGGGGAAACCCUGAUGCAGCGACGCCGCGUGAGUGAAGAAGUAAUUCGUUAUGUAAAGCUCUAUCAGCAGGGAAGAAAAUGACGGUACCUGAGUAAGAAGCCCCGGCCAACUACGUGCCAGCAGCCGCGGUAAUACGUAGGGGGCAAGCGUUAUCCGGAUUUACUGGGUGUAAAGGGAGCGUAGACGGAAGUGCAAGUCUGGAGUGAAAGGCGGGGGCGCAACCCCCGGACUGACUUGGAAACUGUUCGGCUGGAGUGCUGGAGAGGUAAGUGGAAUUCCUAGUGUAGCGGUGAAAUGCGUAGAUAUUAGGAGGAACACCAGUGGCGAAGGCGGCUUACUGGACAGUAACUGACGUUGAGGCUCGAAAGCGUGGGGAGCAAACAGGAUUAGAUACCCGGGUAGUC
rnacentral:rRNA from 1 species